rnacentral:lncRNA from 1 species
GUGCUAUAGUGCUCAUGGUGCCACUACAUUGCUGGUCUGGAACUCCUGGUCUGAAGCAAUCCUCCCGCCUCCACUUCCCAAAGUGCUGGGAUUAUAGGCAUGAGCCACUGCAUUCAACCUCUUAAGGACUUUUUGAUCCGGCUUCAGUUUCUGCUCCACUGUUGGUACAAUCCUGCUUUUUAAAACACUUUGGAUCACAUUGGUGCUGCAUCAAAGCCUUCAGCCAACCUGGGAAGUGACCAGGACUCUGCAAACUCCUUAUGGCACCAAGGAAGAGAACCAAUGGCAGAAGUCACACAUGCAAGCAAGAUGGGAGUCUGGAGAGCCUCAGGCUAAAUCACCAGUGCUCAGCCCUCUUCUCUUUCCCCAGUAGGGGCCUUGCCUCUCCAGUGUACCCGGCUUUUGAAGGACCUUGUCUCCAUGUUUCCAUUGUUGAUGGAAGGACCGUGGCAGGACUUUGCUUUCCAGUGCCACUAUUAUGUCAGCAGGCUAGCCCUGAACCCCACAUGCAAAGAUCAAAUUCUGGGAGUUUACAUUUCUGAAACUUGGGUCAAGGUCCUGACCAAUCCUCAAAAGAGCAACUGUGUGGACAUCUGUGGCAAUGUCAGAUUCACUGAAUCCCAAGACAAGGAGCUCUUUGAUAAUGGGCUAGAGGAAAGUGUGAAAGAAUGGUUUAGAACUAAUUCAAGAAAGAACAAUCUGAUUCCCACUUGGAGGAGGACGCAGGAGCUGAAUCAGAUGGGGCUGUGGUGCCUGGGGAGGAGGAAAUUGUGAGUACUUGCUCUUGAUUGAGUAUCAUUAUCCUCCUGUUGUCUAGGAAGAUGAUUGUUAUAAUUAGCCACAAAUGUCAUGGGCAACUAUAAUUUACCUUUUCCUGUAACAACUGAUAGUUUACCUUUUCAAUGCCUCCUUUUAUCUUCCCACCAUGGGGCUUUCCCCAUCCCUCCAUAACAA